UGUUAUGGCCAGGUUGAACUGAUUGCACCUGAUCCUGUCUGAUUUUGGAAACUAAGCAGUCCUGGGCCUGGCUACUACCUGGAUGGGAGACUACCUGGGAAUCCUAGGUGCCAUAGGCU
rnacentral:rRNA from 1 species